CACGCGAUAGCCCUUCCUGGCCUUGCUGUGGUUCCUUUUGCCCGUGGGCGACACGACGGCCACGAUCAGCUCAUCCUCCCGCAGGGAGAUGAAAGGCGAUAGACCAUCCAAAGGUUUCCUUCCAGAUAGAUCCUGUUUCUUCAAAGUUUCCAAUUGCUGCCUGGAUUGAAGCACUGUAUCUCUGAAAGCAGAUCUGACAGCUCUCCUCCCUUCAGAGGCUUUAGCUUAACUGCGAUCAACAGAUGAGAACUAGUCGGUCCGUGACUUUGUUUCACACAUAACUACGGCACUCAGUCAGGAAGCACUUUGCCAGACAUAAUACAGAGCAAUGUGUGUGUCUUUCUCUUGGUCCUAAUGCCCUCGCUGUGCUUGUCCUAUCAAAUCAAAACUUUGCAAAAGCUGUAAGAGGUGAAAUACAAGAAAAAAAACAUUGUAUUAGAAAAGAAAUCAGGGCACACCAUCGAUUGCUGUGCUUCUGAGUAGCUGUAUUAGACUGAGAAUGCUUGGAGCAAGAAGCAAGAAUUUUAUAAACUGAAUAAAAGAUAGAGUGCACAUGUUUUA